rnacentral:rRNA from 1 species
UACGUAGGGCGCAAGCGUUAUCCGGAAUUAUUGGGCGUAAAGAGCUCGUAGGCGGUUUGUCGCGUCUGCCGUGAAAGUCCGGGGCUCAACUCCGGAUCUGCGGUGGGUACGGGCAGACUAGAGUGCAGUAGGGGAGACUGGAAUUCCUGGUGUAGCGGUGAAAUGCGCAGAUAUCAGGAGGAACACCGGUGGCGAAGGCGGGUCUCUGGGCCGUAACUGACGCUGAGGAGCGAAAGCGUGGGGAGCGAACAGG